CUGUUACAUAACCGCGCCGCCGCCGCAGCGCGCUCGACGGGGCGCUCGACGGGGCGCCGCACGCCACUUGCGCCUGACCGGCUGUCAAGUGACUUGGGCGAAGGAAGAGCGACAGUGCGCUUGGAUUCGUCCGCUACAAACAUGGCCCCGGUCGAUGAUGCAGACGACGACAACAACGAGGUGAAGGGAAGUACUACUACGGUACUGAAGGGUUUGGAGACCAUCGCUCCUCUGGUCCGCUCUGUCGCGGAGACCCCUGAUCCAAUCCCUGCUGAGGUACAAGGGACAAUUCCCCUUUGGAUCAGUGGCAGCCUGCUCAGAAAUGGCCCGGGAAAGUUUGAGUUCGGAGACACUCACUUUAACCACUGGUUUGACGGGAUGGCUAUGCUCCACAAGUUCAAGAUAGAGAAAGGCCAGGUGACGUACACGAGUCGGUUCCUGCGCAGCGACGCGUACAAGAAGAACAGCGAGCGGGACCGUAUCAUGGUGUCAGAAUUUGGUACCGUCACGAUGCCCGACCCUUGUAAAAACAUAUUCCAGCGAUUCUUCUCUCGCUUUGAGAUGAUACAGCCCACAGACAAUGGCAAUGUCAACUUUAUAAAGUACAAGGGAGACUACUACGUCAGCACAGAGACCAACUUGAUGCACAAAGUGAACCCAGAGAAUCUCGAAACAUUGGAACAGGUCGACUGGAGCAAGUUCGUCGCUGUUAACGGAGCCACCGCCCACCCUCACUACGACCCCGAUGGCACCUGCUUCAAUAUGGGCAACUCCUAUGGAGGAAAAGGAACCACAUACAACAUCAUUAGUGUACCUCCUCAGAAGUCAAACGCCGACGACACCCUGCAAGGAGCCCGAAUUCUCUGUUCCAUUGCGCCUGCAAACAAGUCUCACCCCUCCUACUACCACAGCUUUGCCAUGUCGGAGAACUACGUGGUGUUCAUUGAGCAGCCAAUUAAAAUAAACCUGAUGAAGAUAGUCACGUGUAAGAUGAGGGGCAAGGCCUUUUGCGACGCCAUUUACUGGGACCCCGAGCUGGAAACCAUCCUGCAUCUUAUUGACAAACAUACAGGCGAGGUGCGAGCUCGCAGUCAGGUUUGGCGGCUCACCCGAUCGGAGUCUAAUAAUGCGCUCUCCUCUCCUCAGGCCAGCCCGGUGAAGUUCUACGCCAAAGCUUUCUCCAACUUCCAUCAGAUCAACGCCUUUGAAGAGGAUGGGCUCUUGAUGCUGGACCUCUGUUGCUCAGACGGCAGCCAAGCCCUCGACAUCUACUCCCUUCAGAAUUUACGCAAGUCGGGAGAAGCGCUAGAUGAGGUUUACAAAGACAUGAGCAGCGUUUUCCCUCGCCGCUUUGUUUUACCGCUUCACGUGACCGAUGACACGCCGGCCGACCAAAACCUGAACACUCGUCCUUCCAGUACAGCAACGUGUGUUAAAGAGAGCAACGCAAGAGUAUUCUGCCAACACGAAGAUCUCCAUGGCGAUGACCUUUCCCACUACGGCGGUCUGGAGUUCCCUCACAUCAACUACGAGCGAUACAACACGAGGCCUUAUCGUUAUUUCUACGGGUGCGGCUUCAGACACGUGUUCGGAGACUCGCUUCUCAAGAUGGACCUCGACGGCAAGACGCUAAAGGUCUGGCACCAGAAGGGUCACUUCCCGUCGGAGCCGGCGUUUGUGCCCUCACCGGACGCCGUGGAGGAGGACGACGGCGUCAUCCUCUCUGUGAUUCUCGCCCCCUCGCAGGUAAGACGUUUAAAGAAGGCUCAAUACGGUAAGAAUCAAAAUCAAAGUCGACUACUUUCAGUGUCAAUCUGCACGAGACCGUCGCCGUUGUGUAUUAUUGCACUGAUGCGGCACUAACACUAUUUAACAAUACUCCUGAAUAGAAAAUACAAUUCCAAUUUGUGAACAUAUGAACAGGUGAAAAGAAAAGGAGGCAACUUCGUGGUUGUGACUUUUGCAUUGAUGUGAUCAGGCUCAGACUAAUUCAAGCCUCAGUACGAAAUGUCAUUAAGUCAGAAGACAGAAGUCAAAUGAAAAGCCAAACAUCACUACAAGACAGUAGAGACAGCCAAUAAUUCGAGUCGUAUACAGUAAGUAUGAAACACUGUAAUGCUAUGCUAUGAUAUAAUGAAAGACUUCCAGUUCAAUGGAAUGAAAGAAAAUGAGUGCAAAUGUUCAAAACAAAUGAGGUAAGUCUGCGUCCUCUGUGAAGGGAAUCAGCCACGCCUUUUUCUUUUUUUUGUUUGCAUUAAAUGUAUUUAUUUUUACAUAUAGGGGGUCCUCGGCCAUGACGGUAUUGACGUUUCGCUGUUUCAAAUGAUGCGCAAUGGACCAAUAUUGAUAACGGACUAAUGCGCAGUAAUGAAAUGCUUCCAAAUGGAAUGAAAGAAAGUUACAUCGUACUGGAUGAAGGCACGUUCCUCCUGGUUUUGGAUGCCAAGACGUUUGAGGAGUUGGGGAGAGCAAAUGUGCCCGUCAAUAUGCCU